AUAGAAGCCAUAAUCGCCGGAAUAGGUCGUCAGCGCACCGCCGUCGAUCUCGAUGAUCUUGGUGACGAUCCGGUUCAUGAACUCGCGGUCG
rnacentral:sRNA from 1 species